GACCAUGUGUCCCAAUGGACAAGGCAACGGACUUCAGAUCAGAAAAUUGAUGGUUCUAGUCCGUUUAUGGUUG
rnacentral:tRNA from 1 species